AUUGAACGCUGGCGGCAUGCUUUACACAUGCAAGUCGAACGGUAACAGGCCUUCGGGUGCUGACGAGUGGCGAACGGGGGAGUAAUGCAUCGGAACGUACCCAGAGGUGGGGGAUAACGCAGCGAAAGCUGUGCUAAUACCGCAUGUGAUCUGAGGAUGAAAGCGGGGGACCGAGCAGCAAUGUUUGGCCUCGCGCCUUUGGAGCGGCCGAUGUCGGAUUAGCUAGUUGGUGGGGUAAAGGCCUACCAAGGCGACGAUCCGUAGCUGGUCUGAGAGGACGACCAGCCACACUGGGACUGAGACACGGCCCAGACUCCUACGGGAGGCAGCAGUGGGGAAUUUUGGACAAUGGGCGCAAGCCUGAUCCAGCAAUGCCGCGUGCGGGAAGAAGGCCUUCGGGUUGUAAACCGCUUUUGGCAGGAACGAAACGGUGUCCGCUAAUACCGGGCGCUAAUGACGGUACCUGAAGAAUAAGCACCGGCUAACUACGUG
rnacentral:rRNA from 1 species